rnacentral:rRNA from 1 species
GAUGAACGCUGGCGGCGUGCCUAAUACAUGCAAGUCGAGCGAACAGACGAGGAGCUUGCUCCUCUGACGUUGGCGGCGGACGGGUGAGUAACACGUGGAUAACCUACCUAUAAGACUGGGAUAACUUCGGGAAACCGGAGCUAAUACCGGAUAACAUGUUGAACCGCAUGGUUCAACAGUGAAAGACGGUCUUGCUGUCGCUUAUAGAUGGAUCCGCGCCGCAUUAGCUAGUUGGUAAGGUAACGGCUUACCAAGGCAACGAUGCGUAGCCGACCUGAGAGGGUGAUCGGCCACACUGGAACUGAGACACGGUCCAGACUCCUACGGGAGGCAGCAGUAGGGAAUCUUCCGCAAUGGGCGAAAGCCUGACGGAGCAACGCCGCGUGAGUGAAGAAGGUCUUCGGAUCGUAAAACUCUGUUAUUAGGGAAGAACAAAUGUGUAAGUAACUAUGCACGUCUUGACGGUACCUAAUCAGAAAGCCACGGCUAACUACGUG